CAGGGUUCCGUGAGCAAGGAUUGGGUCGGUGUGCAGCGCUGCGGUCGCCCCUUUGGCGCUAGAACUCGCGGAGGGACGGUGUGCUGGGCGGUUCUCGGUUUCCCAGCUUCCCUGCCCGCCCCUUCCCAAAUUUCCCAAGACUUCAACCUGAAAGCGUGUGAAGCUGAGUUCCUAGAGCCUUUGUCUCCAUGAGAAAGAGCCUGAGAAUAAAUUUAUUGUAAAGGAAAUGGAGCCUGACAAUAUCAUUGGAGCACCUGGAGCCAGCCAAGCCUGAAGCCACUAUGUGUUUUUAUCAGAUGUUCAUUAUGACCACUUUUAUACUUCACUCCUGAAGGAUAUUUAGCUUGUUUUGAGGCUUCUGCUGAUACCAACGAUGGGACAGUGAACUUCCUGGUUGAAGGUAUGUAUGUUUUAAAUUUGAGUAACUACUGCUAAAAUACCCUCCAAAUUUCUCUUCAAGACCCUGCUUUCAAUUCUUUUGGGUAUAUACCCAGGAGUGGAAUUGCUGGAUCAUAAGGUAAUUCUACUUUUAAUUUUUGGAGGAAUCACCAUUUUACAUUUCCUCCAAUAGUGCACAAAGGUUCCAAUUUCUCCACAUCCUUGCCAACACUUAUUUGUUUUUUUGUUAUUUUUGUCUUCCUGAUACUGGUCAUCUGCUACGGUCUGAAUAUUUGUGUCCUUUGGGGCCGUUGAGAGGUGCUUAGGUCAUGAGGGUAGAGCUCUCAUGAAUGGGAUUAGUGCUUUUAUAAAAGAAACCCCACAGAGCCCCUAGUCCUUUCCACCAUGUGAGGAUGCAAUGAGAAGUCUCUGACCCAGAAAAGGGGCUUCACCCAACCAUGCUGGCACCCUAAACUCAGACAUCUAGUCUCUCAAACUGUGAGAAAUAAAUUUCUGUUGUUUAUAAGCUGCCCAAUCUCUGGUAUUUUUUUACAGCAGCCCAAAGGGACAGACACUAUCCUAAUGGGUGUGAGGUAAUUUAGCUUUGUUUUGAUGCUUUUUGUAACACAAGGCAAGCCAGAAACAAACAGAGAAGACAAGCAUGGUUAGAUUUAAGAGCCUAGACUUUAGUCAGACAGCCUGGGUUCAAAUCCUGGCUCUACCACAUUCUAGCUUUGUUGCCUGUUAAGCACAAGACAGCAGGCUCAAAAUGGAGUUGCUUAUGCUAAGCCCCAUGUCACCAGGGACUUCGGCCCGCCCAGAAAUCAUUAACCAAUCAGGAAUCACCUGAUCAGCACUAGUUAGGUAAUCUGCCUGAGAGGCCCCUGCCAGCCCUUGAAGGAAAGUAACUGCAAUAACCAACCUGCUUUUUUGCCUGU